rnacentral:rRNA from 1 species
GAGUUUGAUUAUGGCUCAGAUUGAACGCUGGCGGCAGGCUUAACACAUGCAAAUCGAACGAUGAUUACUAGCUUGCUAGUAUGAUUAGUGGCGAACGGGUGAGUAAUGCUUAGGAAUCUGCCUAUUAGUGGGGGACAACAUUCCGAAAGGAAUGCUAAUACCGCAUACGUCCUACGGGAGAAAGCAGGGGAUCGCAAGACCUUGCGCUAAUAGAUGAGCCUAAGUCGGAUUAGCUAGUUGGUGGGGUAAAGGCCUACCAAGGCGACGAUCUGUAGCUGGUCUGAGAGGAUGAUCAGCCACACUGGGACUGAGACACGGCCCAGACUCCUACGGGAGGCAGCAGUGGGGAAUAUUGGACAAUGGGCGAAAGCCUGAUCCAGCCAUGCCGCGUGUGUGAAGAAGGCCUUUUGGUNGUAAAGCACUUUAAGUGGGGAGGAAAAGCUAAUAAUUAAUACCUAUAGCCCUGACUACCCCCAG